GCCAAGGUGCUGCUAUGCAGGUGUGAGUCCAGGUCCUAAGACUGCUCUUUCUGUAAUCCCCCCUUCUUUGGCUCCCUGGCACUGCCUGGUCCUGGGGUGCCUCUGGACCCUCUGUUCCUCCUUCUAGCAGGGUCCUGCUCAUCAACAGUCAUGGACAACUGACCUGAUCACUAAAACCCACAACAGCAGGAAUUAUAGCUGGUAUAUAUUCAGCUUCCCAGAGAUCCUGAGUCCUUAAUUCCCCUCAGCACUGUUUGAGGUGAGCAACUACAACUACACAAGACAAAGACGAAAGACUUUUUCAGCUCAAAAAUCCUGUGAUUCUUUGAUUCUAAGAAGAGAUUUUCUGACAAGGAGUUUGCCUAAGGUGCUCACUGUGCUGUGAUGGUUUGAAUGCAGGCUUGGCCUCCUCUCCAACCUGUGACUACCAGGAAGAUAGCACACCUGUCCUAUUCACCUUUGUAUCUCUGGUGUCUCACUCAGGAUUGGGCACAGUGCUUGCCAAGGACCUGCUAUGUGCCAGGUGCUGCUGGAGCUGGGAACCUAACGAUCACAGUGUCUGCCUCUGCCAGCCUUUGUGUGUGUGGCAGGGGUGGUUUUGAGUCCCACCAUCUUCCAUCCCUGAUGCUUGGAGAACCUGAGGACACACAAGAGAGUCCUGGUGGACCUGAGAUUUGGGGAAGAUGCAGACACACCGAACCCUAGUGUUGUUUACCUCUGGGGAUGCUAUUGGAGUAACAAAGCUUAGGCCUUCCCUGGCCUGUCCAGGAAUCGUGUCCAUUCUCAACUAUGAAUCCUGGAGAUUCCACCUCCUUCUAGUCUCCAGACAAUUCAACCCAGGACUGUUAUCAGACUCCAUGGACUCUCUGAGGAAAUGCUGCUUCAGAUGGAGGAGGAAGGACCUCUGGUGCCAGCUGGUUUUGCAGCUAUGACCUCUAAUCACGUGCUUAAAAUCCGUCUGUCAAAGAACAUGGGGUUGCAUUACAAACAUCAAAAACUAUUUGAGUAUCCGUCACAUACAAGGCCCUUGGGAAGAGUAAACGCACAGGAUUUGUAACGAGACUCAGUUACAGUUGCAGUAAAGUUCUGUUCCAGUGAUCUAUUGCUGCAUAGUAAACUACCCCGCAUGGAUUAGUCUGUUCUCAUUCUGCUAUGAAGACAUACUCUAGACUGGGUAAUUUAUAAGGGAAAGAGGUUUAACGGGCUCACAGUUCCACAUGG